rnacentral:rRNA from 1 species
GACGAACGCUGGCGGCGUGCCUAAUACAUGCAAGUUGAGCGCUGAAGGUUGGUACUUGUACCAACUGGAUGAGCAGCGAACGGGUGAGUAACGCGUGGGGAAUCUGCCUUUGAGCGGGGGACAACAUUUGGAAACGAAUGCUAAUACCGCAUAAAAACUUUAAACACAAGUUUUAAGUUUGAAAGAUGCAAUUGCAUCACUCAAAGAUGAUCCCGCGUUGUAUUAGCUAGUUGGUGAGGUAAAGGCUCACCAAGGCGAUGAUACAUAGCCGACCUGAGAGGGUGAUCGGCCACAUUGGUACCGAGACACGGUCCAAACUCCUACGGGAGGCAGCAGUAGGGAAUCUUCGGCAAUGGACGAAAGUCUGACCGAGCAACGCCGCGUGAGUGAAGAAGGUUUUCGGAUCGUAAAACUCUGUUGGUAGAGAAGAACGUUGGUGAGAGUGGAAAGCUCAUCAAGUGACGGUAACUACCCAGAAAGGGACGGCUAACUACGUG